rnacentral:lncRNA from 1 species
NNNNNNNNNNNNNNNNNNNNNNNNNNNNNNNCAUUUGACUCAUUUUAAAGAAAAAGUUUCCAUUUCUCUUUUACAAUUAUUUAUUCAUUCAUGUUGUCUACCUUUUUCUCGAACAAGGAACAUUUAUACUGCAGAAGAGAAAUGAUGUUGGAGAGAGGAACGUGGUGUAUGAUAGUCACUGUACAUUCUACACGUUUUCUCUUGAGUACAGCCUUCAGCCUGUGCCAUGUGGGAAGAUAGAUAACUUGAUAGAAAAUAUGUAUCUUGGUUGGCUUGGAUAACCAGAGACUAGAGUUCAGGACAACCUUAGCUGCUGGAAGGAGUGGGGUCUCUGAAAGGAGUGAGCCACAGAGUGGAGCCCCAAAUUCCAUGUAUAAAAUCUACCUAAAUCUAAGCUGGACUUUGAACUUCAUGUGUGGUGCAGAUUCCACACUGGCUAGAUAAGGCUGAAACAAUUGAACUGAAAUAUGUCAGUCUUGAAAAAAUUGUGAACAGGGAUGCAGGGAUCAGUGGGACAAUAUCAGAAGCUCUAAUACAUGUUGUCAUAGGAUGGGGUGGGGGUGAAUGAAAAAAUAAUGGCUGAAAAUAUCCCAAAUUUGAUGAAUGAUAUAAAUGUAGAGUCAAGAAGCUCAAUCAUUAAGCAGGAUUAAUUUAAUGAAAACCACACCCAGGCGCAUCUUAGUUAAACUUCCAA